rnacentral:rRNA from 1 species
AGCGAACGCUGGCGGCAGGCCUAACACAUGCAAGUCGAACGAACCCUUCGGGGUUAGUGGCGGACGGGCGAGUAACACGUGGGAACGUGCCUUUAGGUUCGGAAUAACUCAGGGAAACUUGUGCUAAUACCGAAUGUGCCCUUCGGGGGAAAGAUUUAUCGCCUUUAGAGCGGCCCGCGUCUGAUUAGCUAGUUGGUGAGGUAAUGGCUCACCAAGGCUACGAUCAGUAGCUGGUCUGAGAGGAUGACCAGCCACAUUGGGACUGAGACACGGCCCAAACUCCUACGGAGGCAGCAGUGGGGAAUCUUGCGCAAUGGGCGAUAGCCUGACGCAGCCAUGCCGCGUGGAUGAUGAAGGUCUUAGGAUUGUAAAAUCCUUUCACCGGUGAAGAUAAUGACUGUAGCCGGAGAAGAAGCCCCGGCUAACUUCGUACCAGCCGCCGCGGUAACAC